GCCAGGAAGAAGAAAAGCGGAGGGGAGGGAGAAGCCUGUGAGAGAUGGCGUAUUUCCUAGAAUACGUGUUCGACGUGGGAAGGCGGAUUGCGGGGCGUGCGCAGGCGUAGCUGGGCCACGAGCGCGGCGGGCUGCUGGGCCGAGGCAGCAGGCACGCGUGAAGGGAAAGGGUGGGCCGAGGUGGCUGGGCCGACUCGGGCCGAAACAAUAGGUAAGCUUUUUUUCUUUUUCUUCUCUUUUUCCUUUUCCCUUUUUCUGUUUUCUCUUUUGCAAACAGUUUUUGAUUCAAAUUUCAAAUACCAUUUUGAAAAGCUAAGAAGUAGGAGAAUUCAAAUAUGGCACUACUAUUUGGAAAUAUUCAAAUGGGGUAAAGGUUUAAAAACAAAACCCAUUUGAAUAUCAUUUGUAAAAUUUAGGAAAAGGAAUUCAAACUCAAAAAGGAUGAUUCAUAUUUGAUCUUCUAGCAAAUUCAAACAACAAGAUUUCAAACCACAAGUUAAAAUGUAAUUUCAAAUUUAUGCGAAACAAAGAAGAGAUGACAUGGUAUGGAUGCAAAUGUAAAAUGUCAUGCCACAAGAAUUAAAUUACAAACAGGUCCAACAAGGGCUUAAAUGUAAAGUAUUG
rnacentral:lncRNA from 1 species